GAUGAACGCUGGCGGCGUGCUUAACACAUGCAAGUCGAACGAUGAAGCCCAGCUUGCUGGGUGGAUUAGUGGCGAACGGGUGAGUAACACGUGAGUAACCUGCCCUUAACUCUGGGAUAAGCCUGGGAAACUGGGUCUAAUACCGGAUAGGAGCGUCCACCGCAUGGUAGGUGUUGGAAAGAUUUAUCGGUUUUGGAUGGACUCGCGGCCUAUCAGCUUGUUGGUGAGGUAAUGGCUCACCAAGGCGACGACGGGUAGCCGGCCUGAGAGGGUGACCGGCCACACUGGGACUGAGACACGGCCCAGACUCCUACGGGAGGCAGCAGUGGGGAAUAUUGCACAAUGGGCGCAAGCCUGAUGCAGCGACGCCGCGUGAGGGAUGACGGCCUUCGGGUUGUAAACCUCUUUCAGUAGGGAAGAAGCGAAAGUGACGGUACCUGCAGAAGAAGCACCGGCUAACUACGUG
rnacentral:rRNA from 1 species